UGUGAAGUGUACAAGUUUCUAGUCUCAUCUU
rnacentral:piRNA from 1 species